AUGAAUAAAUAUUAUAGCACCUUAACUGAAUUGGUCAAUACACUGGUAACUAAAGGAUCUUGAAAAAUUUAGAGGUAUAUACCUAGAGAACCUAAAGAAAUAUUGACACACUUUUGGAAAGUAUGACAAAUUGCUCAAAAUUGAUCUUACAAUUUUCUCAUUUUCAUUAGACUCUAAUGCAUAUUACGCACUUUAAUAUAAGGUCUA
rnacentral:lncRNA from 1 species